CACUAGUUGAAAACCAAGACGCUCUGCUCUUUCUUUCCCUUGUAGUCCCUCUCUAACCAUGAAACUCUCAUUCUCCCUCCCUUCCUCCAAAUCCUCCAAGCACACCAACAAGCCCGAUCACGGCGGCGACGACGACGGCGCCGGCGCCACCAAACAUUUAAUCACCGAAUUCGACCCUUCCAAACCCCCACCUCUUUCCCAACCCAAAACCCUAAUUCCCCCAAUCCAAAACCAAUGGCGUCCCCUCAAGAAACCCAAGAUGAACAACCUCCUCCUCCCCCUCACCGAACCCCAGCACCAACACUCCCUCGCCUUCGAACCUGACACCGCCGCCGCCGCGGAACCCGAUUCCGACAUCUCCUACGGCCUCAACCUCCGCCGCGACGCCAAGCAGACCGAAGACAACGCCCAUGAUGAUGAUGCCGCUGCUCCGCGGCGCCGUUUUCAGCCUGAAGCGAUGAUGCUGCAGAAGCUUAAGGAUGAUCUGGAGAAGCUGCCGGAUGACCAGGGGUUUGACGAGUUCAAGGAUAUCCCUGUCGAGGGCUUCGGCGCCGCGCUGCUCGCUGGUUACGGCUGGUCGGAAGGGAUGGGGAUUGGGAAGAACCCUAAGGAGGAUGUUAAGGUGGUGGAGUACAAACGACGGGCUGGAAAGGAAGGAUUGGGAUUCGUCGGUGAUGCACCGGUUUCCCGUCACCAGAAGAAGGAGGGUGGAGCAGCAGAGAAUGGCAAGGAAAAGAAAGAGAAGGAGAAGGAGAAGGUUGUGAGAAUUGUUGGGGGAAGAGAUGCGGGGUUGAAGGGCAGUGUCGUGUCGAGAAUUGGGGAUGAUUUUCUUGUGCUGAAACUCGUAGAGAGCGGGGAGCAAGUGAAGGUCAAGAUGGGUGAUGUUGCUGAAUUGGGUUCUGUGGAAGAAGAGAGGUGCUUGAGAAAAUUGAAGGACUUGAAGAUUCGGCGUCGCAAUGAGGACAAAGGGGCUAAGAGUAAACGUGGAAGGGAUGGAGUUGAGGAUAUGAGAGGGGAUCGCGGCAGGGAAGAGCAGGGGAAGAAGCAGGCUUCUUGGCUUACAAGUCAUAUUCGGGUUAGGGUUGUCAGCCGAGAUUUAAAAGGGGGGAGGUUGUAUUUAAAGAAAGGAGAGAUUUUGGAUGUAGUUGGGCCUGCUACUUGUGAUCUAUCUUUGGAUGACAGCAGGGAGAUCAUUCAAGGAGUGUCUCAAGAUCUUCUCGAGACAGUUAUCCCGCGACGUGGGGGACCAGUUCUAGUGUUGUCUGGUAAACACAAGGGAGCCUUUGGGAGUCUGGUUGAGAAGGAUUUGGACAGAGAAAUUGCCAUUGUUAGGGAUGCUGACACCCAUGAGCUGCUCAAAGUCAAACUUGAACAAGUUGCAGAAUAUAUGGGGGACCCAAGCUUAUUGGGACAUUGAUUCUGUUGAAGCAACAGAUUUACAAGAACCCUAAAUCACUAAAUCAGGGCGUGGUUACUCAACAAGGGUUGGGCACUGGAAAGCAAUUGGUGAUUAUGUUUCUCAAGGGUUUAAGACGUUCAGUAAGCUUAUUAAGCAGCAUCAAGGCUGACAAGCAGUCCAACAACCACGAUAUUCUGAAGUUGUUGCUCUGAUGAUUCCUUUAUCCUAUUAUAAUUGAAGGUGAUGGCUCUCCCGGCUGAAGAUGGCAACAUUGGGCGGUGAAGCAGAUUAUACAAGUCAAAUUCUGAAUUCCGGCAAGUCUGAGGUUGGUGCCCUCUAUACAGAAUUUUUUGAUGGCAAUGUAAAGAAAGGGGAAGAUCAAUAUGUCAGUGACCUUGAUGCUCUUUCUUAUAUUAGAAUUUGGAAGUUCUGAUUUAUAUGUAGAGCAGCCCUGAUAUGUCUCUCCAACAUGUAUAAAAAAGGAAAACAAUGCCAGAAUGCCGAAAAUUGAGGCUUCACUAAGGCUAUGAGGAUAUGCAUUUUUCUGCUAAGAACAAAGAUCAAAUGGACUUCUAUUUUUCAGAUUAUCAUUUUGUGGACAGUGAGAUUGCCCAUUUCUCGGUCUCUCAAUAGCUAAGAUGACAUUUCUGAUCUGGAAUCACAUUUCAUGGGAGUUGAAAUGACUAGGCCUUGGUACACUUCAAGAAACUAUGAGUUGGUUUCCAUGGUUGCUCAUUAAUCACUGGAGCAUGUUCAGCACUGUGAUCUGUCACCCCACACUAGGCAUUCUGGGAGAGAGCUGUCUUUCAUAAUUAGAUCGUCCAGUUUCUGUUUUGAAUCUCUUUUCGGAGGGGUUAUGUCUUUGCAUACUUUGUGAUAUGUACUAUUAGCAUGAAAUGAGCAGCUGGAACAACUGGGAUUGGAUGACUAGUUUUGUCCAAACCAAUACUGGAGAUAAACAGAAGAAGUAUUGGGGAAAAAGGAGAGAAGAGUCCUUGGGAUUGUGACUUAUAUCACGGAUAACAUACUUCUCAUGUUGAUUGAUUAGUUGGUCAUCUAUAUGCCCUUUUAUCAUACAAAGGCUCAACCCUUUCCAUGCCUAACGUGUAGAGGAUGCCCCCAUCACCCCUUUCAGCUUCAGUAAUCAGUAAUAAGAAAAACAGAUUACAUGCUGAAAAAAGCACCAGCCUCAGCAACAUCAGUAGAGCCGUUAAGUUAAAGAAUGUGAUUUGGUCUGGAGGUUGGUGCCAACAAGAUCAAAUCUUCUAGGCUGCACAACAAAAGAAAAUGCUUAAGCAUGACAAAUAUAGUAGAACUUUGUGAUGUUACUCAUUAUGAAAUUUAAGGCAUUAGCCUGUUGUAGUUGGCAUAAAA